GACGUAGGGCGCGAGCGUUGUCCGGAUUUAUUGGGCGUAAAGAGCUCGUAGGCGGCUCGUUGCGUCGGCUGUGAAAAACCCGCAGCUCAACUGUGGGCUUGCAGCCGAUACGGGCGGGCUGGAGUUCGGUAGGGGAGACUGGAAUUCCUGGUGUAGCGGUGAAAUGACGCAGAUAUCAGGGAGGGAAACACCCGGUGGGCGAAAGGGCGGGGGUCU
rnacentral:rRNA from 1 species